rnacentral:lncRNA from 1 species
AGUAAUACAAUAGUGGGCGAUCUUGGAUGUUGCAAGCUGUGUAUAACUACAUGUGAUCUGUAAGUAUGAUACCAUCUGGUUGGACUCUCUUGUUAAUCAAUCAAUCAUCAAGGGAUGGCCUUAUAGUUCAAAACUUUUUUUGACAAUAGAUUGCUUUAUAGUUCAAUAGUUGUAGGCUGUAGGGCAAUACCCUUUGACAUGCAUUACACGCUGAUCUGUUUGUACGUUGAAGAUCCUUGCCGUUUCACGGGGAAUGUAGACAGUUUUGCUUUGUUCUUGGUGUCAUUUAAAGGGUGGUUGGCGCUACCAGGCUUCGCUUGUUGUGUGGGACAUCAGAAUACAUGACCAGGUUUGUUCCAAGUGGGCUGAUCAGCUCGCGCUUGUCGAUAGGUUCCUAUGAGGACGGGACCUGGACCUAUUCCCUAUGAGGACGGGAAAAUGGCCGACUAGAGUUGCCUCAGGGCGGCCGAUGGGGUCGCGCUUGUUGAUAGGAUCGGUGGCUACGCUCCCUCGUGCGGCCGGGGCACGUUGCUUUUGGUGCUCGUUCGUGAAGGACAGAGAUUCCCGAAUAUCGGCAUUCGGGGUUUGAUUGGUCGACCUGGUGUUGUCAAGUGAUGAAAGUGCAUCUAAUCUCUGUGUGGUUUUAGAAAUUCAUAACAAUAUAUAUUUAUUAAACUAAUGCCUAUUCAGGAAUAUUUCAGGAAAGUUUAAUUUAGGUACAAUAAUGGCAUGUGAAAAUAGACCCCUCAAAAUGCUAAGACAAGUGUUGGUCAAUGCCUUAAAACUUCAUUUUAUAUUUAAGUGAUCCAAGAUCAUAUUGAGUCCACAAGUAUGCUAAUAUUAUUAAAAGGGGAUGAGGUUAAGAUAAUGAGUUUCUUGCUCAAAUUACUUAAAGGUCAAGCUCCUAAUGCCUCACAUCAUUUACCACGAUUCCUCUAUAUGACAAACCAAAAGUUAAACCUGGACUCACCAAACCCAUAUACACCGAAGUCAUCGAGUCACAUUUUUUUUGAAAACCCCCAUAUAUUACUUUGGUAAAUUAAGGUUCUUACAAUCGUUCAUUACAAAAGCAGUUACACAUGGCGGAACACUAUUAUAUAAAAGGCCCUCAGAUCUACUGUCAAAACUGAAUUUUGCAAUCUUGUGCGCCAUCCUAUUUGCCCGCCUAUCAAUCUUCGUGAUCUUAAAAUCCUUUAUGAGUUUUGAUACGCUCAACGCCUCCAUUUUCAGGUCCGCCAACGAAGACCUGUCAAUGGAAUCUCUAGCCAGACAAGAAACAACAAAAGCGUAAUCAGUUUCCAGAAUAAAUGGUUUGUGAAGUGUAAUACCUAUGUAUAACCCGGCAAGGGCCGCACGAAGUUUCGCUUCAUCCACACAAGUACAGGAGCGGAUAAAAUCCCGUGAUGAGACCAAUACUUCGCCCAGGUCAUUCCUGACAGCAACUUCAACACUAGCAGAUCUCAUGCUCUCCACAAAACUUGCAUCAACAUUAAUCUUAAUAUACUCAGGAUCCGGGGGCUCCCAAACUCGGUGACCAAUUGCGGGUGGAGUAGCAUACCUCCACUUGUCAACCACCCCCUUACCUUUAUUGCAUAUGACAGCUUGCACAUAGGCAUUUGUCGCUGUAAAAGAUUUCCAGUAAUUUUCCAUAGAUAUAGCAGAAGCAGAUAAAGACUCUUUCCCCCUUCCAAAGAUCAGAUCAUUCCUCAGGUGCCAAGCUCACCAAAAUAUGAAUAAAACUUGCUCGCGAACCGGUGACCCCAAUUGGUCAAGCAUAAUAAUAAACCAGUCUGGCCCCGUACAUCUGAAGAACUCCUCUCCAGGAAUAUUCCACACAUCUCUCAUGGCAAAACGGAGAGCACACGCCUUAGGACAAGUCACCAGGGCAUGAAAGAUACUUUCUUCCUCCACACCACAAAUAGUACACAUAUCUGACACUGUUUGGUGAUGAGCAACUAUGUUUACCUGGGUCGCCAAACUAUUGGACGCGGCUCGCCAGGCAAAAAUUCUUAUUUUUUGUGGGACUUUGGCCUUCCAAAUAACGUCCCACAUCCUCCUCCCCUCAUUAUCAAUAGUGUUGGACCUUCCAGUUUCGCCCUUACCGUCACAUUGAUAUAGACAUUAUCCUAAACUCUAUACUUUCGGACUCACUGAGUUGACCCUUCGAUCUCAUCGAAGAGCACUUGCCAAUCUUCUGUUGCCUACCGAAAUUCAUUCGGAAUUUCCGAACAAAUUAGGUCGGUGAAACCGAAGUGUGUACAAUACUUAGGUCAUAAGAACUCAAGAGCCACCAAACAGUUUCAUCUGGUGUCACCAAAAUUUCUAAAGUUCAAACCUUUUGUACAGUUCGGUCUGACCAAGUAUUUUCAGUCGGCCUCGACGACAUGUGCUUAAAGUGAGUAAUGGUAAGAUUUUUGGUGAAGCCUAUAUAUACCCCCACCCACUCCACCAGUACCUCUCAAAAAAAAAACAC